AAGAAUAUUGUUUAUAUGUAGAAGGUAAAGCCGGUUUUAUAACAUGGAACAGAAAGAAGGGUAAAGAGACAAGUUAGGAUAUUACAUAUCUCCAAAAAGGCAGUUGUGGGAGGCCAAUCUGCAAUAGAAAUUACAGCUAAGUACUAACCUCGACAAAGCAUUGAUAGGCAGGACAAUAGUGACUGAAACCUUCAAGUUUUAAGUUUUCGUCUGUUCAUCGGUAAUUGUUACCUUCUUAUCGAGUCGUAAACCCUGGUUCUGGACAAAGCUACUUCAUUUGUCAAUAUAGAUGAAUGUCUUUUUAGUUUUGUUCAUUUUCAACUAUAUAUUUAUAUUACAUGGAAGAUCCAAAGCAAGAAUGAUCCUUUCUUCUCUGAUACAACUAUAUAUUCUACUUCACCAAUCCCGCCUCAAGAAUGAAAGCAAAUGGAUUCUUAUACGGACUUCUUACCAAGUAGGAUAAUUUUUUCACAAAAUUUUCUUCAUAUGUAAGACUGCCCAAUUGAACUUAAGGGUCUUUAAUCCAUAAUCAGUAACCACAAUCGGACAUAGGAAUGCAAAAAGAAACAGACUCAUGCUCUCUGCCUCCUAGGCUAAAGGUUAUUAAAGAUCAAAGUUGACCGAGAGAUGAAAGUGUUUGUCUUGUGUUUCUUGAGAUCCGGUCAUGUAUCGGUUCCUAUAAACAAAGCUAUAGAUCAAUACGCUUGAAACUCCGAAGAGUCAGUUGAGAUUUUGGAACUGAUGAGGAUCAAACCUGAGUUGGAAUAAUGUCAGUUCUUGAUCCAGUAAUAGUUUCAUACAAGAAAAUGUACCUGCAAUCAUCACGGUUUCUUGCAUCAGUUUUUAAUACCAAGACUUCAAGCUAAAACUAACAUAGUCCAGCGAAUGUCUGAUUUCAUAUACACAGACAAUGUACCUUUCCAUAUCAAAAGCAUCUACUCGAACAAUCUUAUAAUAAAGUUUACAGAUCAAAAUACAUACCGCCAAGCUAAUUCAGUCACGAGUUCUGCAGGGGCAGCUGGCAGGAUCUGAAAAUUAUAGGCAAUCGAGACACCAAGAAUUUUAGCAAGGGUUCUCAGAUAAAUUAGGAAAAUAGAAAUUACAUUGGGAAGAUGUAAGCAUACCUCGUCCUCAUACGGAUUGCAGUUCUCUUUGAACCACAAUCUUAGAAACUCCUAUUGGAUUAAAAGAAACAGAACAUGUGAGUGAACAAAGUACUACAAACCAAUGCAACCUGACUGAGGGCAAGAAAAGUCAAAAUCACUAACCUUAUCAACAUUUUCAGGCUCCAGGCCUUUUUGAAAGCGCUCUUCAUAUGAACCUGCAAGCCAGUAUCUGCUGGAAUCGGGUGUAUGAAUCUAUUCACAAUGUGUACAAGUAGAUGAUGAUUCUAAUCAGUGAUUUUGGCAGCUGUGCAGAUAUGCGUUCAACUGUGCAUUCGAAGAGAGACAGACAAGGAAAAAAGAGAUAAGAUAACAUACCUCAUCAAUCAAUAAGAUUGAGCCAUCACUACUUCUUCCAAACUCAUACUUUGUGUCCACCAGUAUCAGUCCAUGAUGCUUGGCAACCCGCUGAAGCAAGCAUGAUAUAAUCAAAAUCCAUUAGACCCUUCCAACAAAGCAUAACAUUUGCAUGUUGAAGCCAGUAAAAUAUAUUAAAAACUGAUUUCUUGUGGUCUGCAAUUUAGAGAUUAUGAAAAUCACAAUAGUCAAUGACUUUAGACGGAGGAGUUGUAACUAACCUGCCCAAACUCAAACAAGCUCAAAGCUUUCAUACUUGCUUCAUCAAAAUCAGCUUGAGUCAUGAAUCCACGUUCAACUAUCUGCAAGAAUUAUCAGGAGAAUUAGAAGAAAAACAGACUAUACAAUUGUCGCUGAAAUAUUCUUGUCUUACAGCUAAGCAGAUCACAGAAACAGCAAACUAAUGGCUCUAAAGACUUUUUAUGGUUUCCACAUUUCUUUACUGUAACAGAUUAUUAGACCUCAUUUGGAGAGAUGGGCACAUCAUGAUCCGCUGCCUUAGUUGUUGGUGUAAGUAUAUUAGCUGGAAGCUUCUGGUUUUUUACUAAUCCUGCAUAUUUAGUGAUCAGCAUAUCAAUGAUAUUCUACGAUGCAUUUAAUGAAGAAGACAACUAACAUAUGGCAAUAAAAGAAACUGUACCAUAUGAGAGCUCAUUCCCACAGUAGUUCCGAACACCUUUAUUGUAAACCGUCCAUAAUGACGUGUCAGUACUUCCAGUCACAUAUCCUCUAACUUCAAAAAACAAACAUAAGAGAACAGCUUAGAACUAAAGCAAAUGGAGGCUGCAUAGGGAAGUGUCUGACAAGUUACUCGGUAUAACACACUAACCCACAAACUCUAUGGGAAAAACCGAGCAUUUCUUUGCGAUAACAACAUUUCUAUCAGGAGAUGAAACAAUUGCAUUUGGAGUUAUGUGCUGUGUGUUAUUGAACCACCACAAACUUGUCUCAUUAAGAACCUGAAAGUACCACAAACUUAUUAUUCCUUGCAGUUUGAUCUACAGACCAACGAGAAAAAAUUGUGGGCAACGAUGUAAAGCUAUCUAACUUGAAUAUAGAGCACAAACAUGGAGAAAAACAAACCUGGCCUUUGAAGGGAAUUGAAGCAAGAUUUCUGUCGAAUGCACUCAACCGAUCAGUUGUAAUAAGAACCAGAUAAUCACCAGCAUCAUAAAUAUCUCUGACCUGCAACAUCAAUUUUACAACCUUGAUCAGUUCUGAAUUCUAAAAUCAACAAUUAUGUAGGUUUAGCACAAAAGCUUGGUCUUCUCAUUCAGGUAAGAAACAAAAAGUAAACAUUGCCAACCUUUCCCCUGAUUCUAGAUUUCAGACCAGGAACAGUCUCUAGAAGAUUCGUCUCAGAGAGACAAUUUGACAGCGAGUCUUUGAUUGUGCCAAGAACCUCUCCCUUUCGGUUACUCGUGACUAAAUCAUCAAGAGACAGUUGUGGUCUCCCCUCCUGCUGGUUUUGGGCCUUGCCCUAGCAAGCCAUAACCAAUGAACAGGGUUUUGGGUAUUUCUUGAACUUCGGUAAUGUUCUCAAGAACGAGACUGACGCAAAAGCUGGGGUUUUUACAGACACUGUCCUAGUAACGCUCUUGGGUGUUCUCAAAGGAUCUAGAGUUGACCUCACACACUGAGCCAUACCAGAAACCAUCACUUAACCCCCUGCACCAGAAGCACCAAAAAACUUCAAAUUGGUAUACGAUUUCGAACCUAUAGCCGCCACAAAGGAAAAUUAAGAAGAUAUGAAGGAUUCUAAACGGAACCUAAGAAGUCAGUAUUAUAAUCCAAAUAGACUAAGGAAGAAGAGCAGACUCUAGUAACCACAGCUAAUACAAACCCUGUGAAAAUAUGAGAAUCGAACAUGUGUUAAAGGAAGAAAGCCAAACCUUUUAUCAAAACAAGCUAAAGCCGAAGCGCGACGGAAUAAGAUCUGAUAAACAGAGAGUGACGAUAGAAGCCGGCGGCGAAAAGUAGGGAGAACACUGAGCUCGGAAUCUGCGUUUGCGUUUAAAACCUGAAUGUUUUUCUUUUCAAUCGCUCAUUAAUAUUUAAAUAAGGAAAAUAAAUAUGUAUAACCAGAGAGAAGAAAAAAACACGGCUUUGCCCUCCUCCGCAUCUCCUCUCGGGGUUCAAGAUCCCUCACCUCUGCAUCUUCCAAAAACCAAAAUCUGUGUUUUUUACCUGUAUUCAAACCAAAAGGUUAAACCUUUGCUUGAAGUUUGCGAAACCCUCAAGGGAGAUAGAUGCCAAUUUAGAGAGAAACAGAGAAGCAGAGAGAUAUGGCGAGGCAAGCUGGGAAGCAGAAUUGUGGGAGGGUUGUGUUAGUUUCACUCCUCGCUCUUUUAGCUGCCGGACUUGUUGGAGAUUUCCUUUGGGCUUCUUUUCAUCCUUUCUCCUCCGUUGGGAUGUCUCUUCCCUCCUCCGUUACCACCGUGAUCGGACAACUUCCUCCUAAUAUCAAUGUAACUGGUUCAUUGUUGUCUCAUUGUUGAUGUACCUUCAUUGAAUUGGAUCUCAAAGCAAUAUGCUCAAAUUCUCACUUCUUGCGUCUGCUUUUGGUGCUUUUUUCAGGGCAAAGAUACUGAGAAGAAGAAGAACGAUAAAGUUCGGGAAAGGAAGCUUUCUGCAACGUUUCAAGAUUUGGCUGCUCCUGAGCUUAAAUGGGAGAAGAUGGCAGCUGCUCCUGUGCCUCGUUUAGAUGGAGCUGCAAUUCAGAUUAGGAAUUUUCUAUAUGUGUUUGCUGGAUACGGCACCAUUGAUAUUGUAAGCCUCUUGUAUCCUUCUUUCAGUAGCAUUUGGUAGUUUCUGACCAAUGAUGAGUUGUCUUAUUCUGUGUCUUCGAAAUUCAGGUACAUUCCCAUGUUGAUAUAUACAAUUUUGUAGAUAAUACAUGGGGAGGAAGAUUUGAUAUGCCAAAAGAGAUGACGCAUUCACAUUUAGGUAUGGUAACGGAUGGGAGAUACAUCUACAUUGUCACUGGUCAAUAUGGUCCUCAAUGUAGAGGGCCUACAGCUAAAACAUUUGUGCUCGACACUGAUACAAAUUCCUGGAGUGACUUCGUUUCUUUACCAGUUCCUAGGUAAUUUUGAAACAAGUAGAUUCAAUUUGGAUAAUAUGCUGAUCGGAUUAUUUUAAGGAUUAUGUACCAUUCCUACAAAUGAUAUUUUUGGGUUUGAGAAACGGCAACUUAGCUCGCUUGGAUAUCAUUUUGCUGCUCAAGAUUUGCUGGUGAUGCUAAAUGCUUAAGAGGAACUGAGAGACAAAUUUUGUUUACAUUCAGGUAUGCUCCAGCUACUCAGCUUUGGCGAGGUAGACUCCACGUAAUGGGUGGAAGCAAGGAGAAUAGGCAUACACCAGGGCUUGAACACUGGAGUAUUGCAGUAAAAGAUGGGAAAGCAUUGGAAAAAGAGUGGAGAAGCGAAAUUCCAAUCCCUCGUGGAGGACCUCACAGGUUAUUUUUCACAACUCUGUUGUAGAUGAUCCUUAAGCUACUUCAUACACCUUUCUCCGUUUUAUCUGAGUUUGACUGUUCUCGUUACUGUAGAGCAUGCGUAGUAGUGGAUGACCGGCUUUUUGUCAUUGGAGGUCAGGAAGGUGAUUUCAUGGCUAAACCAGGAUCUCCCAUCUUCAAAUGCUCACGUCGUAUGGAGGUAUAUAAUAGACUACCUGUUCAAUUAAGUAUCAUGACUCCUCCUCUUCCUUGGAUGAAAUUACUCAAGUGUUGCUUUAUUAUGAACAUCAUGUGUCCUUUUUUCACCUUGGUGGCUCAGGUGGUAUUUAGUGAUGUCUACAUGCUGGAUGAGGAAAUGAAGUGGAAAGUCAUGCCAUCGAUGCCAAAACCGGAUUCCCAUAUUGAGUUUGCUUGGAAAGUGGUUAACAACUCCAUUGUAAUCGUCGGAGGCACCACAGAGAAGCAUCCGGAAACGAAAAAGAUGGUCCUUGUUGGUGAAAUCUUCCAGUUCAAUCUGAAUACAAUGGUAAAAACCAAGUGGCCUUCAUGCUUAAAACCUCUCUAUCCUAUUUAAAAGUGUAAACUGUAGCUGGAAAACUUAUUUUCUCUGCAGAAAUGGUAUGUGAUUGGAAAGUUGCCAUACCGUGUGAAUACUACGCUGGUUGGGUAUUGGGAAGGGCAGUUAUACUUUACCUCCGGGCAACGAGACAAAGGGCCAGAUGAUCCCGCACCGCGUAAGGUGCUCGCAGAGAUGUGAAGAACCAAACUGAUACUGAAUCCAUGAAGACAGUCAAAGAAUCAAUCUCCCUUUUGUAAUGGAAAGUAUCAGCAUUCUUUUUGAGUUGAUAGUUUUUUUAGCAUAAUUCAUCCCACUACGCAAACAAUUGCUGUAUCUAUCUUAUAUAUGUUUGACGGAGCAUUUGUAUAUUGUAAACAAAAUCUCUAGAAACGAAACUGUUAUGGUUUGAGAAUUAUGAAUGAGAAAAAGUUUUAGGUCCAAAAACACUCUGCUUAAAGAUGACUUAACCUCUAUAAUUCAUGAAGGGUUGUUGGUAUCUCAAUGAGGUAUCUAUAAAUCAGGGCUAUCUUAUUUUUAUGUAUCUCAAUUAGUAUCAGUUUUCAUUUAGUAAUUCCACAUAAGAGUAUAUUCUCUGUUUACCUAUCUAGAAUUUUGCUAGAGAAGCCAUUUUAUUGAAACAAAAGAGAGACCUUCUUCAGUCCAGCUGGAUCUGGCCCAAAGCUUUCAUGUCCAUCUCUUGCAACCGUAACUAAUUUAUUUAAAAACCCUAGCAUGCUUUAAAGAUGAUGAAGAGGAUGUAUCUUCCGGAAGAUUUGGUAGUGAGGAUACUCUCUAAGGCGAGUGGGAGACGAUUCUUUCAUCUUUGCGUGUACUAUAAUUAUAAUUUUCUUACCUAAGAGUCAAAAACUCAAAAUGACCAAAUCAUGAAAACGUAAAACUUUCGUUUCCUUGCAGUAGAAGCCGUAGGCCUCUCAAGUAGUGGAGGCCCAAAAGCCCAAAUUCAGCUGAAUUUAGGACGUGAAAUCAGUGAGGCACACGUUCAGACAGUUCAAGCGAAUGGAACGUUUUUUCUACUAAAGUAUUCAACCCUAAUCUUUCUAGAAACAGUCACUUUUCCAGAGGCACAAUGCAUCUCCAAGAGGCUUUGGUAGUGGAGAUACUCUCUAGGGUUCCUGCUGUAUCUCUGGCACGGUUGAGAUCGACAUCCAAAAGAUGGAACGCCCUGGUCAAAGAUGGGAGACUUGCUAAGAAACACUCUGCUUAUGCUCCAAGACAGUCUCCUCUGUUUAUCAUGUUGAUUGAUUCUAGGGUUUAUUUAGUGAGCAUUGAUCUCCAUAGAAUUGACAACGACAAGGCUGCUCCAUCUGCAAAGGUAACAAGUCAAUUCAGCCUAAAAGAUCCUCUUUCCAACUCUUCAGAACAAGAAGUUGAUAUAUGUAACGUCUUUCACUGCAACGGCUUGUUGCUAUGCACCACCAGAGACAAUAGGCUAGUUGUUUGGAAUCCAUGUUCUGGUGAAAAAAGGUGGAUCGUCCAACACAGGCUUGGCUACGGGGAAAUCAACCACUAUGCUCUCGGUUACGAUUACCGAUCCUCCUGUUACAAAAUCUUGAGGAUGGGUGGACAUCGUGUCCCCUUUCAAACUAAAUACCAAGUCUAUAACUUUACCUCUGAGUCGUGGAGGGUUGUUGGUGGCACUGUAGACUGUUUCAUACCACGGAUUCAGAGUCUUGGCAUAUCUGUGAUGGGAAAUACUUACUGGCUUGCUUAUUGUCGACAAGAACUAGGUGUUAUCUUACUGUAUUUUGAUUUCUCAACAGAGAGGUUCCAUAGUCUGUCUCUUCCCGAGGAUGCUCCUCGUUCUUAUUUUGAUGUGGCUUUAUCAGUUACUAGAGAAGAGCAACAGCUUUGUUUGCUUGCUGUUUGGAGCCAUGAGGUAUGGAUAGCGACUAAGAUGGAGGGUACCGGAGAUCUUUCAUGGAGCAAGUUCCUAACAGUGUCCAAAUUCGAUCUCCGCAAUCAUUUGCGGUUUUGUAUUGGGAUGAGUUUCUUGGUCGACCAGGAGAACAAAGUGGUAGUGUCUUGUAAUAACUCCGGGUUCUCCAACAACAUUAUACAGAUUGUGGGAAAGAAUACAUACAUACAUGAGGAUCAAAAGGGUGCAAAUUCUCAUGUCACACGUCUCCUCACUUAUGUUCCAGGUUUGGUUCAAAUCCAACAAGGUAUCUAGUUUUUGGAGGAGCUGGUUUGUGCAUUGUUUAGGUUGGUUCUCUCUCUUGAUAAACGCGCAUAGGUAGGCUUCAGAAAAACUAAGCAAUAUGCUUUUUUAAAGCCCAACUCAGCCAGUACACAAAACACAAGUUGUAGUAGUUUAUUUAUAUUCUCUGUUUUUCUAUAUUGUAAACAGGUUAUGUAGCAAGUUCGAGUUACAGCACAUCUUUGGUCACACAUGUUUUUUAAUCAUGAGUUCAUGACCAAUAUGGUUUCUUAUCUGUCUUUUCAUAUGUGUACGAAAAGACAUACUCUUUUAUAAAGAAAAAAGAAAAAAGAAAAAAUUAAGCCUGCAUUAUCAAAAACUAUUAGCUCAGAAGUCGUCUUCGUAGCUUAGCAACACAGAUCACUACAAGUUUUAUUAGCUUCUCAACUCGAGCCAUUUUAUAAUUUGGGAAUGUUCUAGGUCGCUGUUCCACCAUGAAAAGCUCUUCCUCAAACCUAAGACUUGGCGUUAACGCAGCAUGAUGUGGGAUUGUCAACCAUUAAUCCACCAAACACAUAGACUUGCCGUUGAAAGCAACAUGAUCUAAACCCAUAUUAGAAUCAUGUGACGCUUUGCAAACAGAAACAUGAAUAAGGAUAAGUUUUUUUUAGGUCUCAAAAUCCUAACUUCUGAAAACAGUCUACUUUAAAGAUGAUGAAGUAAGAGUAACACAGAUAGUCAUCUUCCCGAUGAUUUGGAAGAUGAGAUACUCUCUAAGGUUCCGGCUAUACCUCUGGCACGACUACGAACUACACCCAAAGGAUGGAACGCUCUGGUUAAGGAUGAGAGACUUGCUAAGAAGCAUUUAGCUUAUGCUCCAAGGCAGUCUCUGAUUAUCAUGUUGAUUGAUUUUCGGGUUCACUUAGUGAAUGUCAGUCUUCAUAAUGGAAUUGAAAAGGCUGAUCUAUCUGCAAAGGUAACAGCUCAGUCCAGCCUAAACGCCCAAAAUAUUUAUUAGAAAACUCUGAUUAAAACCUCAUAUUCCAAAUUGUAGUUUCUUAUCCCCUAAUUUUUUGUUUUUUUCUACAAAAAGGGGGGCCAAAACAUAGAAAACUACAAAAUUUGACGCGGAGACGUGGCGUAUAUAUGAAGGGAAAUGCUCUUACUCAAGACGAACAGCCUUUUAAUCAGUUCUUGUUAUGUUUUGAUUUAUCAACUGACGGAUUCCGAAGUCUGUCUCUUCCGACGGAUGCUCCUCGUUCUUAUUAUGAUGUGUCUUUGUCAGUGACUAGAGAAGAGCAACAACUUUGAAUGCCAACUAAAUUAUAUUGUAUUCAGCUUAGGAUGGCACUCUCUUGUUAAACGAGCAUCUAUAGACUUAAUCCCCAGUAAACAUCUUAAUCCUCUUCCCUCAAAACAAAACUAUUUUGGUGGUGGUGAGGCAUUAAACGCCCUAAAUAUUUAGUAGAAAACUCUGAUUAAAACCUCAUAUUCCAAAUUGUAGUUUCAUAAGCUGAGAGGCACUGUGCAUGACCAUGAAAGCUUUUAAUAUUAAGCUGACAGAACUGUUUUAUGCAAUGUUAUUUACCUGGGCACCUUGACGAACUCUUACAUCUAUCCCUUUGCUAUCUAUCGAAAUGAGAGCAGCAUCGUCUACCUCUGAUUCAGUAGAUAGUAGCUCUCUAAGCGGUUUCGAGAAGAUGGCAUUUAGUUCCUAACAGAAGUUAUAGGGAAAGUUAGUUUAGAGCAUACUCAAAUCAUUCCAGUUUCCAGGGAUUACUGGAGUCUCUUGAGGCAACCAAAAGGGAUCAGGAAUAACGCACCUUGAGGGUCUGCUCACCACCAUCAACAGCUAUUUUAUCUGGCUGUAAAGCUUCAUACUCUUUGACAUCAACCCAAGCCACAGUGCCAAAGCCUCCAAUGAAAUAUAUAUCACUGCCAAUUGUCACAUUGAGAAUGGAGUCGAUAAGUGACAGGAGACAAACAAUCAUCCUACAUGUAUUGGUAAUUUAGAAGGCACAAGUUUUGAAACAAACCUUAUGUUCUGCAUUCUAAAAUAGUGAAAGUUUNNNNNNNNNNNNNNNNNNNNNNNNNNNNNNNNNNNNNNNNNNNNNNNNNNNNNNNNNNNNNNNNNNNNNNNNNNNNNNNNNNNNNNNNNNNNNNNNNNNNGAAAUAUUACGACCCAAACUCAAGAUAGAUUCAUGUAUAGACAACCAUGAAUUGAAAAAAAGGCAAAAAGUAGCCAGACACCUACCUGCUCAUCUUCUGACAAUGGGUAAACAUCACCAAAUAAUGUCACUCUUGCCUUCGAUAAGCCACUCCAUCCGGGCAUCUGCCAGACAAAUAUCCAGUUACAGAACAAAAAGGGAAAACCUUUUGCUUAGUUAAAACACUAAAGCCAAUGUUACCUGGACAACGAGACUGCAUCUAGGUUCAGCCAACAAGUUUCGUGUAUGGAUGGCCAGCGGUGAAAAUAGAAAUAUUGGAUCUGAUAACAAAAAGUACGCCAUUCAAGAAAUGAGCAUAUCUCAGCCAGUAAACUCAAGACAUUAAUUGUACCAUUAUAAAUUCAGCAUUGAUAUUCAUACUAUCUAGACCCAAAAACACUCCUACAUGUACAUCAUUAAUGAGAUAAAAGAAAAAGAGGGAAAAACAAUAUUGAGCUCUCACUUCCUACUAUUCGUCCCCACAAAAUCCAAAUUAAGUUGAAGUUUUUACAGUGGGAGUUAGAGACAUAGGAACCAAAUGUCCACAAGUAUAUUCUAUAGAAAAACAGAGAGUGCAACGACAAGACGGGACAAGACGGUAGAAUUACGAACAGUCAACAAGAAAGAAAGGCUCAGUAACUUACGCCCCAUCCGAUCAGGCGCAAAAUCUACCAAUGAGCCAAAUGGGUACCCUUCCCUGCGGUGGUGCAUUUUGGACAUCACUGUGCAUAGAUGAGCAAACCUAGCCUUGAAUCAUACCAAUAAAAAAGACCAGAGACAAAAAAGUUUAUCAUCUAUCUUCAUGAAGUGAAAGUAACUAUACAACAGUCUAAAGAACAAACCCAUUUACCUGUUCCAACAAGUUCCGUACGGCUAAAGCAGGGCGAGGUAACGCAUUAGCUGAUGUUGCAUUUUGAACUCCACCAGAUAUUGGAGUUCUAAAAAGCCCAGCUCGAUUUCCUCCACCACCCUGGUGAUGUGUAAGAGCAUCCACAUCGAUUACACAACUUUCACCAAUGAGAUUACUCCCGAGAUUUUCCUUCAAACAACAUUAAAAGCUAUUAAUAUAUAUAUGCCAAAGCAAACGAUCCCGUAAACUAUCUACUUCAAACUCAUAUUUGCACUAAUCUCAAGAUUCGAUUCUACACAUACUCUGCAUUAAAACCAAAGUUUUGUAGACAAAAUUGUAACCUUUUGCUGAAUUAUUGCAUACCCACAACAAAAGUUAUAAUCUUUAGUGGUCAUCACAAGACAAAGAGAGAGAAAAAGAGUACCUGUGAUAAAGAGAAAACACCCCCAGAGAAAAAAUCAAACCCACUACUCUCAGCCAUAUUGUCUUCGCCUUCACUUGGUGUCUCGUUACGUAAGAGAGCUUGUACACGAAGCCCGUGACUUGAUCCAUUACUGAUUCUCAGCUUCGAGAAUUGCUUUUUGGGUAGCGAACUACACAACCAGCACGAAGAAGACUGGGAAGAAGUGGGCAGCGAAGAUUUGAGGAGAGGCCUCGUCUGUAAAUUGGGGAUGUGUGUUGAAGUAAAGAGAGCUUCCAUGGUGAGAUUUCAAUACAGAGGAGAAUAAGAUUGUAGCUUGAAGAGUCCGAUCUUUCACUAUGCCUCAGAUGCUUCUUCAGUCGAUUUUGUUGAAAGGACAGCUUUAGGAAUUUAGGACUUUUCCAGAGUAGGGUUUGUAAACGCACCACCUCAAUAUAAAGGGUUUUUUUUUCUUUUUUUUUUGUGUGUAAAAGAUAAAGAUUAGAGAAAUUAAUUACCUUAGGAAUUACUCUUAAUCCUUUGUUGUUGAUAAUAAUGAAUCUUAUUUGAAACAAGAACAAAAUAGUUUCUUUUUAAUUUAUAAAAUCUGUGUGAUAAUAACAUAAAUAUUAAUUUUCUUUUGUUUUUUAAAAAACGUUAGAUAACGAAAUUUGAAUCGUUUAAGUAGAAAGUACAAAUUGAUUUUAAACGUUUUUAGUUCAUCACUUUAAGACCAUUUUAGACGUUGAAAAAAAAAGAGAAAUCAACAAGUUAAUUAUGACACAAACUUCAAACUAAUCACUAAACCACUAAAAUAAAGGGAAUUUUGUCUUUUAUGCCAGUUUUUAAACUCAAUCUUCUCUAAAUGCCAUUUUUGAAAACUCGUUUCAAAUCCUGACACAAAAAGUUUAGUAUGUACGAUUUUGUCCUCAGGCAAAUGUUUUGAAAAAACAGAAUCAAAAUAAAAAAGAAAUCUUAUCCACAAGAUCUGGUCCAUUAUAUCUAGUCCACUAGAUUUGAUCCGACAUAACUAUUUCGAGUCUAAUCCACCAAAAUUGGUUCGUCGAAUGUUGUCCAUCUAUAGAGAAAUGAAUCUUGUUCACCAUAAACGCAUCACUUGUUUUAUCAUCUGGUCCGUCGAAUCAGAUCCACUUGAAUCAAAUCCUGCCACAACUUGUCCAUCGUAACUGGUCUAUCUGGUCCGCUGAAACUGGUUAUAUUUCGUCGGAACUGUCUAUGGUACACUUGAACUGGUCUGCCAAAUCUUGUCUAUCGGAACUCGUCUAUUUGGUCUGUCAGAACUGGUCCGUCGAAUUUGGUCUGCGAGAACUGGUUAUAGUCACCAGAACUCACUAUGGUCUGCCGGAACUCGUCCGCCGGAGUUCUGGUCGAAACUCGUCCGCCGAAGUUCUGGUCGAAACUCGUCCGCCGAAGUUCUGGUUUAUUGGAACUGGUCCGCCGGAAUUAGUCCGAUGGAUCUGGUCUGCCAGAAUUAGUUCGCUGGAUCUGGUCCAUCAGAAUUAGUCCACUGGAUCUGGUCCGCCGAAUUUCAUCUGCUGGAUCUGGUCCUCCGGAAUUCGUCUGAGUUUGUCCGUCGGAUUUGUCUGUCGGAUUUGUCCACCGGAGUUUGUCCGUCGGAUCUGUUCAACUGGAACUAUUUGUUGUUGGAAGAAGAAAAAGAAGAUGAAGAAGACAGAGAUAAUGAAAGAAAAGAAAAAGGGUAACAUGGUCUUUUUACAUUGGAUCUAUGGCAUGUUUUGAAAGGAGUUAUGAAAAAUGGCAUUUUAAAGAAGAUUUGGUAAUGUACAUGGUAUUCCCCACAAUUUUCUCUAAAAUAAAUGUCCUAAUUUGCAAAAUACGGAAAUUUUGUUCAAACGUUGUCGUUUUCAGCCCAUCCUUCCUCCGAAUCCACGCGCCACCGUCUAAGCUGUAGCGUCAUCGCACGCGCCAUUUUGCUUUCAACCGCUCGAAUCAUCCCAGCUGCAACCCCGGUCACAUCUUCCACUUUCUUCAAACUCUGCCACGUCAUCGUGUUCUUGACGCCGAACCAAAACGCCGACGCUAAGACCACUCUGUUCGUCGCUCUCGGUCUCGGCCUCAUCUCCACAGGCAAAGCGAGAGACGCAUACGAAACGACGACGUUUGUUAAAUCUCUGUUUAGUUCUAAUUUAUCGCACCACUUCACAAAAACGCCAUCCGCGACCGUAACAGCAGCAACUGCCUUCUUAUUAGCCUUCGCUAUGCUCUGUUCCCCUCCUCGCUCUGCUCUGUUUACGCCACGCGUCGUCGGCGACAGCUCGGAGCUCGAGACACGAUCGAAAGAAGAGCAGCAAGAAGAAGAUUUCCCCAGGUAAUGGUGAUUCAGGACAUUUUCAGGCUGAAGCAAAUCGAGCAUUUCUGAGUGAUACGGACCAUAACAGCAGCCACGAACAUGGUUACAAUAACUAUUUCAACAAAGGGUAUGGCUACUAAGAUCAUUUCAGGGCUUUUAAGUAUUUUCUGUAGAAUUAUACAUCCACUCUUAUCCGUGCUUUUAUUAUUUUUGCUCAAGGCAAGAGACAAGUCUCGAGAACGCUCUGCCUGAUAGCUUCUUCGCUUCUCCAUCGAAGACCGGUGAAACCCAAGACCCCGAGUUUGAGAAAGAAAAUUGUGCUACUCUCUCUGUUACUACAGAAAAUAAGGCAGCAUCCUCACUUCAAUCAGCCUAGCAAUUGGUAAGUUCAAAAUUUCUCCUAAUUCAGUCCCAUUAUCGCAUAGCUAUUGUUAACACUUGUUAAUACCUCUUACUGGAAGUUUCCAGGUUCUAUAGAAGCAGAAAGAAAGCGUGAAAAGGUAGACACUUUAAGCCAGACUGCAACUUGUAGGUUCUCCAAAAUUUAAUUGGUAUUAACUACAUGAUUUUAAUUUAUUUGGUUGCAGAAAAGUAGAGACUGAUAAAAGCAGGAAGUAGAAGAAUUUUGUUUAUAUGUAGAAGGUAAAGCCGGUUUUAUAACAUGGAACAGAAAGAAGGGUAAAGAGACAAGUUUGGAUAUUACAUAUCUCCAAAAAGGCAGUUGUGGGAUGCCAAUCUGCAAUAGAAAUUACAGCUAAGUACUAACCUCGACAAAGCAUUGAUAGGCAGGACAAUAUAGUGACUGAAACCUUCAAGUUUUAAGUUUUCGUCUGUUCAUCGGUAAUUGUUACCUUCUUAUCGGGUCAUAAACCCUGGUUCUGGACAAAGCUAC
rnacentral:lncRNA from 1 species